GGGAACUCGGGUGUGUCGAGGAUGGGAACGAAGCCAGAGACCAGAGGUACAAUUACUUCUGACACUCUUCACAGGACCACCUGACAUGGUUAAACAGCCCUGGCUUAACGUUCCAGACACUGCUGCCAAUACUUGCGGCUGUUAGUUCCUGAUUUCUGCUUAAGCACACCGUGGGACAAUAGUAACAGGGCCAAAGGAAUACAUCUUCAACAUGUACAUAAAUUCCACCAAGUGGCUGCAUGGAAAAGCAAAAAUAAAGAAGGAGUUAGCUACACCUGAAAGGUUCUUCUUUAUGAACAAAUCACUCAGAAGAGGAUCAGCUGCUGAUCAUACGUCUGACUCAGCUAUAUCUCAUUGCUAUGGCUCUUGGCCACAAGAUAUCUGACUCUGUGUCACCAGCCUAACAGAAGAUCACAUUGUGCUGCCAAAGCACAGAACACACCCAGCUUCUUGGAUUUCAUCUGUCUUGCAUUUCCUUAUGUAUCAGUUACAGGAAAAGCAGCAACUGAAAUACAGCUCUCAAAUGCUCUGGAUGGCUUCUGUAACAAGUGCCCAGACCUUGGCACAACUGACUCCAUGAUUGAAGUACCAUUCAGGCCAUUAAACUCAGCACAUAGAUGGUACCACCUGCCAAAAUGAAAACAAAGACCUGAUCCAUCAAAGUCCAUAGUGAUGGAAAUGCCCCUAAAUGACUAACCUUGCUCUUUUUUACUUCUUUAAUUCUGCUUCUGACUAAAUGUGCUUGUUAACUGAAGUGUGUCAACCCGGGAUUUUUUUUUUUUCAUAAAGGCUUGGUGGUACACUGGGAUCCUGAAUACCAAGUAUGCUCUCCAGCCAGCUGAUAAAGAUUUCUAUUGGCUUAAAUUUUAAUCCAGGCAGUGUUCUCUGUUGGAUACCCCACAAUAAUUUCCAUUAGCUUUUAUGUAGAAAUUCUACUUCUCCAAAGAAACCCUGUCUCGAAAAAAAAAUUUUUAAUUAAAUAAAUAAAUUCUACUUCU
rnacentral:lncRNA from 1 species